CGAUUCCGGUUCCGGUUCGUAUUCUCCGUCUUAUAAUUCAGGUGAAUCAGCUCUCGAAUAAAACUGAUAUUACUUAUUAGUGAAGCGUAGAAUAAAUUUAUUCUUUAUUUUUUAAAUAUAUUGAAAGAUUUACCUUUUAUAUGCACAUUGAUGAAAUAUAUAUUUUGUUCUUUGUGAAAAAAUGAAUUAAAUAUUGAACGCACUCUCUCGGACUCACCGGCAGGAGCCUAUCCUAUGUCGUCCCGAUUUGAAUCUGCAAUGGAUGUGUCAUGCUUAAAAAAUCCAAAGCCAGCAUAUAUGCAGCAUUGAAUCUGAUUCGACUCCCACUCCCUCCUUUGGUUAUUCUGUGUUGCUGCCGCUGAGCACAACAGAAAUAUAAAGCGCACGAGGAGGAAAAUCUUAAUUUUGGCAACUUUGAGGCAAGGAACUGGUUCUAGAUGGGUAUAACUGAUUACCUGAGCCAUCUGUCAUAAUUAGUGAAAACAAGAACGGCGACCAUGAUAUGCUUAAAUUCCAGAGUGUAAAGGUUCAGGUAAGGAAUUGGAUCUAAUAAUUUCUGCCACUUGUUUCCUUACUGAAUUUGAUGAUCAACUAGUCGCUAAAAAAGAUAUUUUGAUGCAUAGGACAAAGGCGUAUAUGUACCUCGAGGUUGACAAAACCUAAAAAGACUUGUGGAAAGACCAAAAAGCCAGGCAUCACGGUAUCGGAGUAUCGGACUGAGGACCGAGGGCGAUGCUCGAGUGGAUGGAAUACAUGAUGAGGCUAUUGGAAAGAGGGAGAGUAAAGGGAAGGCUGUUAAGGUGUACAGCGUUUAUAAGGAAUUGUAAAAAGCCGGAGUAUGAAAUGGGAAGAGAACAAGCUGGAUAUGGAAGGUCCUUACUAGUCCUCGAGUGAAAUUAAUGAUUCGAAAAUUUUCCAUGGCAUACUACCUCAGGGACGCUGUUCUUGUUAAUUGUGGCAUCGGAAAUGGUAAGCGAAUAUGGCGUGG
rnacentral:lncRNA from 1 species